CUCAGGAUGAACGCUGGCGGCGUGCUUAACACAUGCAAGUCGAACGAACCUUCGGGUUAGUGGCGGACGGGUGAGUAACGCGUGAGAAUCUGCCCUCAGGAGGGGGACAACAGCUGGAAACGGCUGCUAAUACCCCAUAUGCCGCGAGGUGAAAUGAAUUUCGCCUGAGGAUGAGCUCGCGUCUGAUUAGCUAGUUGGUGUAGGUAAUGGCUCACCAAGGCAUCGAUCAGUAGCUGGUCUGAGAGGAUGAUCAGCCACACUGGGACUGAGACACGGCCCAGACUCCUACGGGAGGCAGCAGUGGGGAAUUUUCCGCAAUGGGCGAAAGCCUGACGGAGCAACGCCGCGUGAGGGAUGAAGGCCUCUGGGCUGUAAACCUCUUUUAUCAAGGAAGAAGAUCUGACGGUACUUGAUGAAUAAGCCACGGCUAAUUCCGUG
rnacentral:rRNA from 1 species